rnacentral:rRNA from 1 species
UAACGGGCCUUCGGGUGCCGACGAGUGGCGAACGGGUGAGUAAUGUAUCGGAACGUACCUUUCAGUGGGGGAUAACGUAGCGAAAGUUACGCUAAUACCGCAUAUUCUGUGAGCAGGAAAGCAGGGGAUCGCAAGACCUUGCGCUGAUUGAGCGGCCGAUAUCAGAUUAGCUAGUUGGUGAGGUAAAGGCUCACCAAGGCGACGAUCUGUAGCGGGUCUGAGAGGAUGAUCCGCCACACUGGAACUGAGACACGGUCCAGACUCCUACGGGAGGCAGCAGUGGGGAAUUUUGGACAAUGGGGGCAACCCUGAUCCAGCCAUGCCGCGUGAGUGAAGAAGGCCUUCGGGUUGUAAAGCUCUUUCGGCCGGGAAGAAAUCGUAUGGGCUAAUACCCUGUGCGGAUGACGGUACCGGCAUAAGAAGCACCGGCUAACUACGUGCCAGCAGCCGCGGUAAUACGUAGGGUGCGAGCGUUAAUCGGAAUUACUGGGCGUAAAGCGUGCGCAGGCGGUUUUGUAAGACAGGCGUGAAAUCCCCGGGCUCAACCUGGGAACUGCGUUUGUGACUGCAAGGCUAGAGUACGGCAGAGGGGGGUGGAAUUCCACGUGUAGCAGUGAAAUGCGUAGAGAUGUGGAGGAACACCAAUGGCGAAGGCAGCCCCCUGGGUCGAUACUGACGCUCAUGCACGAAAGCGUGGGUAGCAAACAGGAUUAGAUACCCUGGUAGUCCACGCCGUAAACGAUGAGUGCUAGGUGUUAGGCCCUUUCCGGGGCUUAGUGCCGCAGCUAACGCAUUAAGCAC